UUGGCCGCGGCCGGGGAAAAACCCGGAUACGCUGGGCAGCAGAGUUGGCAGUCGCGGCUGCGAGAUUUGGGCACUUUUGGGGGUGCCGGUGGCCCGGGCCGAUGGCGCAAGGUUGGGCAGGCUUCUCUGAGGAGGAACUGAGGAGACUAAAGCAGACUAAAGAUCCAUUUGAACCACAGCGACGUCUCCCCGUGAAGAAAAGUCGACAACAACUUCAGCGAGAAAAAGCCCUUGUAGAGCAAAGCCAAAAACUUGGGCUUCAAGAUGGAUCAACCUCAUUACUUCCAGAGCAGCUGCUUUCAGCACCAAAACAGAGAGUUAACAUUCAAAAACCACCUUUUUCUUCCCCUCCUCUUCCAAGUCAUUUCACUCUCACCUCCCCUGUUGGUGAUGGACAACCACAGGGCAUUGAAAGUCAGCCAAAGGAACUGGGACUUGAGAAUUCCCAUGAUGGUCACAACAAUGUUGAGAUUCUACCUCCAAAGCCAGAUUGCAAAUUGGAGAAAAAGAAAGUGGAAUUGCAAGAAAAAUCUCGUUGGGAAGUCCUCCAACAAGAACAACGGCUAAUGGAAGAGAAAAAUAAACGUAAAAAAGCUCUUUUGGCUAAAGCUAUUGCAGAAAGAUCCAAAAGAACUCAGGCAGAGACCAUGAAACUAAAGCGGAUCCAGAAGGAGUUGCAGGCUUUAGAUGACAUGGUGUCAGCUGACAUUGGAAUUCUCAGGAACCGGAUUGAUCAGGCCAGCUUAGACUAUUCAUACGCUCGGUGAGUUGGGGAAAUUGAAUCUGAACAAGGAGUAUGAUUUAAUUAAUGUUUAUUGCCAGCUGUUCCAAUCCUCUUUUGAAUAUCUUCUUCAAUGGAAAACUGAUGGACCUAUCUUUAUACACAUCCUUACAGGAAGCGGUUUGACAGGGCUGAAGCAGAGUACAUUGCAGCAAAGCUAGAUAUACAGCGCAAGACUGAGAUAAAAGAGCAACUCACUGAACACCUUUGUACGAUCAUACAGCAAAAUGAGCUCCGAAAGGCCAAGAAGUUGGAGGAGUUGAUGCAACAACUAGAUGUGGAAGCCGAUGAAGAGACUUUGGAGCUUGAGGUGGAGGUCGAGAGAUUGCUACACGAACAAGAAGUAGAAUCAAGGAGACCAGUGGUUCGUUUAGAGAGGCCAUUUCAGCCUGCGGAGGAGAGUGUGACAUUAGAAUGUGCUAAAGAGAACAAAAAGUGUCAAGAACAAGCUGUUUCCCCAAAGGUAGAUGAACAGUGUGGAAAUUCCAGUAGCAUCCCCUUUCUUAGUCCACACUGCCCAAAUCAAGAAGGUAAUGACAUUUCAGCUGCUUUGGCCACAUGAAGUUCUGGUAUUCUUUUGAGCUAAUAUGGUAUUGAGUAAAGUAUACUUUUUGCGGUUAGAUCAUGCCCUGACCUCCAAUAAAAACCUCUUUAAAACAAUGCUGAUUUUUGAAUUCAUGAUUAGUUUUAGUAAAUUAAUAUGUUUGGCCAUUCUAAAAUCCAAAAUUAUGAUAACUAUAUUUCUAGGGGUAUGUUUCACCUUGAUUUUGGCCCAGUUCUUUCAGUGUUCCGUUUACCCUUUUUACUGAAACUAAGUGACUCAAAAGGAUGGAAGAAAAACUACAUGGUUGGAGUGUUUUUAGAUCAGAUAAAUAUAGAAAAGUAAAAUGGAAAAUGAUACUCAAUACCUAGUUAAACUCAUUUCACUUCUGGGAGACGUAUUAAGACUGGAAGUCCUAUUUUAUUUAAUCAGUAUCAGUAAAAAGACAAAAAUUACAGUGUGAACAAGAGAAAAACAGGAAUAGAAGAAAAAAGUUGCAGGUUGAAUUAUCUAUCUGGAUAUUACUAGAGUUGUAAAACACAACUUGGAAAUUGGAAUUUAUGUGAAGAACCAGACAACUUAAACCAGCAUCACUUUUGUCUUCAAUUUGCCUUCCAAUGAUUUUAGUUUACAACCUGCGUUUUGUUAUUUGAAACACACACACAAGUAUAUAUAAACACAUGUAAUUUUACUAUUUUAUUGUCUUUCCUUUAAUCGAUGAAUUGAUUAAAUUUAGACAAUUAAAACAUUUCUAAAGUGAGGCUGAAAAUAAUAUAGAAAAUCUCAUUGCUACUUGUGAUUAUCAAAAAAUAUGUAUUUUCUUUCUAAAGUUAUCUAUAAAUAUGUGUUUGAUAUGUUGGACAUGAAUUACCCUGUUAUGAAGCAUUUAAAUUGUUAAAAUGCUGAUUUUCUUAUUAGUUUGUUAAUUGCCUGUUACUAGUACUUGACAAAUACAUUGUGCUAUAUGUAAAUGUGUAAAUAAAUAUUGUAAUUUUCUCACAAAGUCUGUGAAUAUCACACUAUGAUUUAUUUAUCAGAAAUUCCAAAAAGUAAAAAUAUUACCUUUGAGGACUUUUUUUUUAAAAAAAAAGAAUUAUUAUCAGAGAACAUAAGCACAAGUAUAAGAUUGUAUCCAUAAAAGUUUCUGAAAAACUUAGGGACAUCGUGUUUUUAAAUGGGUUUGUUUGAGGGUAUUAUCUUCUGUUAAUAUAGAUGAGCUUUAUAUUUUUAUAUUAUGUAAUUUGAGUUGAAAGUAUAACAUUUUACUACUGACUUCUCUAAACAGGAGCAUUUCUAUAGAUAGUUGUGCUUUUAUUUAUGAAAUAAAUAAAAGCCAAAAGUUUCAUUGUCUAACACACUUCUUUUUCUAAGGAAUAAACAAGUUUGAUGUA